rnacentral:tRNA from 1 species
GCUUUCGUGGUGUACUGGUAGCACACCCGACCGGUAUUCGAGAGGUCCGGGUUCAAGCCCCGGCGAGGGCA